AAUGUACUAUCCCUCCGUCCCAUGUUUAGUGACUUCCUAUUGCAUGUAUCUAGACACUUUUUAGGCAUAGAUACAUCCAUAUUUGAGCAAAUUUGAGUCACUUAAUAUAGGACGGAGGGAGUAUAUG
rnacentral:pre_miRNA from 1 species